rnacentral:rRNA from 1 species
AGAGGAAGUAAAAGUCGUAACAAGGUCUCCGUUGGUGAACCAGCGGAGGGAUCAUUACCGAGUUUACAACUCCCAAACCCCUGUGAACAUACCUAUACGUUGCCUCGGCGGAUCAGCCCGCGCCCCGUAAAAAGGGACGGCCCGCCCGAGGACCCCUAAACUCUGUUUUUAGUGGAACUUCUGAGUAAAACAAACAAAUAAAUCAAAACUUUCAACAACGGAUCUCUUGGUUCUGGCAUCGAUGAAGAACGCAGCAAAAUGCGAUAAGUAAUGUGAAUUGCAGAAUUCAGUGAAUCAUCGAAUCUUUGAACGCACAUUGCGCCCGCCAGUAUUCUGGCGGGCAUGCCUGUUCGAGCGUCAUUUCAACCCUCAAGCUCAGCUUGGUGUUGGGACUCGCGGUAACCCGCGUUCCCCAAAUCGAUUGGCGGUCACGUCGAGCUUCCAUAGCGUAGUAAUCAUACACCUCGUUACUGGUAAUCGUCGCGGCCACGCCGUAAAACCCCAACUUCUGAAUGUUGACCUCGGAUCAGGUAGGAAUACCCGCUGAACUUAAGCAUAUCAAUAAGCGGAGGAA